rnacentral:tRNA from 3 species
GUGCCUGUAGCUCAGCUGGAUAGAGUGACUGGCUACGAACCAGUAGGUCGGGGGUUCGAGUCCCUCCAGGCACG